GGGCUCAUAGCUCAGUUGGUUAGAGUACUUCCUUGACAUGGAAGGGGUCAGAGGUUCGAGUCCUCUUGGGCCCACCA
rnacentral:tRNA from 1 species